rnacentral:tRNA from 1 species
GGGGGUGUAGCUCAGUUGGUUAGAGCGCAUGCCUGUCACGCAUGAGGCCGCGGGUUCAAGUCCCGUCACUCCCGCCA